UACGUAGGUGGCGAGCGUUGUCCGGAUUUAUUGGGUUUAAAGGGUGCGUAGGCGGUUCUAUAAGUCAGUGGUGAAAUACGGCAGCUCAACUGUCGAGGUGCCAUUGAUACUGUGGAACUUGAGUACAGACGAGGUAGGCGGAAUUGACGGCGUAGCGGUGAAAUGCUUAGAUAUCGUCAAGAACACCGAUAGCGAAGGCAGCUUACUAGACUGUAACUGACGCUGAGGCACGAAAGCGUGGGGAUCAAACAGG
rnacentral:rRNA from 1 species